rnacentral:tRNA from 1 species
GGAGUGGUAGUUCAGUUGGUUAGAAUACCGGCCUGUCACGCCGGGGGUCGCGGGUUCGAGUCCCGUUCACUCCGCCA